rnacentral:rRNA from 1 species
AUUCCAGCUCUAAUAGCGUAUAUUAAUGUUGUUGCAGUUAAAAAGCUCGUAGUUGGAUUUUGGUGUUUGACAAAUGGUCUGCCUUCGGGUUUGCACUGUUUGUUGGCACUUCUUUUCUGGGGAACUCACUGCUCUUAAUUGAGGGGUGCUGUAACGCAGAUCGUUUACUUUGAAAAAAUUAGAGUGUUCAAAGCAGGCCAACGCAUUGAAUACAUUAGCAUGGAAUAAUGGAAUAGGACUUUGGUCUUAUUUUGUUGGUUCCUAAGGCCGAGGUAAUGAUUAACAGGGACAGUCAGGGGCACUCGUAUUCCGCCGAGAGAGGUGAAAUUCUCAGACCAGCGGAAGACGAACCACUGCGAAAGCAUUUGCCAGGGAUGUUUUCAUCA